ACCUCACCUGAAUCCACUUAUUGUCUCCCUUGAGUAUCUUGUCAGAUGGUGGGAGAACAUGUUUAGUACUGACGCAUCCUCCACAUAAUCAACAGCUUAUUUAAGAUUUAUAGCUGAAAUGCCACAGUUCAUUUUGCCUUUCAUACUAAAUAGGAAAGUAUUUAAAUGAGUUCCUGUCAUAUUUCAGCAGCAAUCCAGCGGUGUGGCACAGAUUUAUUAUGGGCACUGAAAAGGUGGACCUCAUAAGGGUACAAGAAAAUAGGAACAGGAGUAGGCCAUCAGGCCCCUCAAGGCUGCCCUGCCAUUUAAUAUGAUCAUGGCUGAUUUAUGCCGGCAUCAACUCCUCUUCUGUGCCAUUUCUCCAACCUCUUUUAUUCCUUGAUUUAUCAAAUAUUUUUCCACCUCCACUUUAAAUACAUCCAAUGAUACAGCUUCCAUCUCCUGCCAGGGUGGAGAAUUCCAGAGAUUCACCACUGUCUCUGAGAAGAAAUUUUUAUAUACUUCUCACCCAUCACCCACCAGCCGCUGUCUCCGAACUCCACCUCUGCCUCUCCCCCACCUGGCUCCAUCUGUCCAUCAUUCCCCUUCAUAUCUGGCUCCACCUAUCACCCACCAGCCCCUGCCUCAUCCUUUCCUCUCACCUCUUUAUACUGGCCAUUUCCCCUCUACACUCCCAGUCCUGAUGCAGAGUCUCAACCUGAGAUGCUGACUAUGUUUCUGCCUCCACAGAUGCUUCCUGAUCAACUGAGUUCCUCCGGCAGAUUGCUUUUUACACCAGAUUACACCAUCUGCAUUGUCUGGAGUCUCCUCCCAUUUUGUUUCCAAGCUGCUGUGCUUUUCCAGAACUUUCUGCUUUUAAUUUAUAUUUUUAUCAUCUAUAGUAUUUUGACUUAGUCUGUAUGAUGCUGACAAAGAGUGCUAAUAUUUGGUCCAAGUGACACAGCUAGCUAGGGAAGGUCAAAAAGCAUUCUUCUUUCUAAAUAUUAUACACUAAUUCUUGCUUAAGAAAAAAAUGAUAUUUAUGGGUUGAUCUCCUGUGAUCAAUAUGGUUAGUGGCUUGAUGUUAAUUCAGGAGUAUCAUCUGUGGCUGAUUAUCUCUGGAGUAAUCAUGAAGAUAAAAAAUCUGUGGAACAUAAAACAAAGCUGGAAGAACUCAGUGGUCAAGCACCACCCAUGGGGACAAAAGGUAUAUGUAGACAUUACAGGUUAAGACCCUUUAUCAGGACUUUGUACAACUUCCAUCAUUCUGUUCUCUUCAUUCCAGAUUCCAGCAUCUGCAAACCCUUUUGUCUUCAGAUAAAAAAAUUCAUCCUCUGUCAUACGUGCUGAAAUUUAAAGUGCAUUAAACUUCCUAAGUUUGGGUCAUUGAUUUCAGAAAAGGAGUUCACUGUACCAUACUGCUUCCUGAGUUUAGACCAUAAAACAGGACAAAUCUAUUUAACAUGAUUUUGGAAGAAAUGCUGACCAAACAAGAACUUGAAUUUGUUUAUUGUAUCACUACCUAACAUGAUGUGAGAAUAAUGAUUGACCAUAGGAUUAGGCAUAAUUGUAGUACCUUUCAUUGUUGAACAGCCUAUUAACUAUCACUGUUUAAGCCUUUGUGUAAUAAGUAGCCAGUUAGCUAAAGAAUUGAACUCUUCAAAUGCAAUGGUCUCGUUCAAGACUUCAGACAAAGCAUUCUUGCAAUUGAAGGAAUAUGUUUGUGCUAUCAAAAGAUGAGGAAAAUUUAGUUACAAAAAUAUGGUCAAACAUGAAAACUGUGCCCCUUUUUGAAGUACUUCAUAGAUGAGGAAGGAAUGUGUCACCUGAGAACAGCUGAAUUGAAUUUCUGCUUCAGCUACAUCAGAACCAAUUCUCUUUUUGUUGAAUCAUGAAAUAUGUUGAGUGCCAAGAAAGUGAUGAAAUUGUCAAGGGAGCCACCAGAGAACCUCAGUGAUAUAAUGCUUCUACUAUGAUGUGAAAGAGGAUUCUGCAAAGAAAUCUCAUCAAAAGAAAUCCAGAACAAUCCAUGCACAGUACUCCAGUGAGAACCAGCUGGCAAUUGUGAGCACAGUCCUUCAGCUGCAGGAUUUGAUCUACUAUCAAACAAAGUUUUAACUAAAUUCCUGGCCCUAUUCUUCAUAAAAGUUCCAAAAGUUUAGUGAGUCAAUCACCCUUCUAUCAAUUCAAAGAGCAAUAGGAUACUUAAGCUUUUGGUUUGAGAAACAAGGAAUUGUGAGAAGUCUAAGAAAUGAAGCACAAGAGACUGGGGACAAGGAUGGAUGGAAGUGAGCCAAAACACUACUUCAGGAGCGAGAAGAUUGGAAAAAAAAAUCAAUUUCUCUUCUGAAAUUAGAGCACAAAAGAUCUGGUGAAGAAUUUUCUGGCUUCGGAUAAAUUUAAAUUGGCAUAUUUUCCAAUAUGUACCAGCCUCAAUCACAAACAGUUUCUCUCCAAGAUUUGUACACAGUGGAACUCCAUCCUUCUAUGGUUAAGGAAUUCUGAGAGAGACACUUUAUAAUAUUCUUUUGAACUAUUUUGUUGACACCUAGAAUGGUCAGCAAUAUAGAAGAAAGUGGCUUUUCAUCUUGAAGUUCAAACUUCUGAAAUCUCAAGAAUUACUGAAAGUCAUGCAUGAUAC